rnacentral:rRNA from 1 species
UAAUACGUAGGAUGCAAGCGUUGCUCGGAAUCACUGGGCGUAAAGAGCGUGUAGGUGGCCUUAUAAGUCAGUGGUGAAAGCCCUCGGCUCAACCGGGGAACUGCCAUUGAUACUGUAAGGCUUGAGUACGGGAGAGGAAAGCGGAAUUCCUGGUGUAGCGGUGAAAUGCGUAGAUAUCAGGAGGAACACCGGUGGCGAAGGCGGCUUUCUGGACCGAUACUGACACUGAGACGCGAAAGCGUGGGUAGCAAACAGGAUUAGAUACCCUGGUAGUCCACGCCCUAAACGAUGGGCACUAGGUGUGGGAACUUUUAGAGUUUCCGUGCCGAAGCUAACGCAUUAAGUGCCCCGCCUGGGAAGUACGGCCGCAAGGUUG